GCCUAGUGGUAGAUCUCCACUUUUUCAGGGGGGAGAUGUGGGUUCAAUUCCCACUAUGGCC
rnacentral:tRNA from 12 species